rfam:Schistosoma curassoni strain Dakar, Senegal genome assembly, scaffold: SCTD_scaffold0004463
AAUCAGCUGAUGAGUCUCAAAUAGGACGAAACGCGCAUCACACUGAAU